AACGAACGCUAGCGGCAGGCUUAACACAUGCAAGUCGAGCGCCCCGCAAGGGGAGCGGCAGACGGGUGAGUAACGCGUGGGAAUCUACCCAUCUCUACGGAAUAACGCAUGGAAACGUGUGCUAAUACCGUAUACGUCCUUCGGGAGAAAGAUUUAUCGGAGAUGGAUGAGCCCGCGUUGGAUUAGCUAGUUGGUGGGGUAAAGGCCUACCAAGGCGACGAUCCAUAGCUUGUCUGAGAGGAUGAUCAGCCACAGUGGGACUGAGACACGGCCCAGACUCCUACGGGAGGCAGCAGUGGGGAAUAUUGGACAAUGGGCGCAAGCCUGAUCCAGCCAUGCCGCGUGAGUGAUGAAGGCCCUAGGGUUGUAAAGCUCUUUCACCGGUGAAGAUAAUGACGGUAACCGGAGAAGAAGCCCCGGCUAACUUCGUGCCAGCCGCCGCGGUAAAAC
rnacentral:rRNA from 1 species